rnacentral:rRNA from 1 species
GGCGGUUUGUCGCGUCUGCUGUGAAAAUCCGGGGCUCAACCCCGGACUUGCAGUGGGUACGGGCAGACUAGAGUAUGGUAGGGGAGACUGGAAUUCCUGGUGUAGCGGUGAAAUGCGCAGAUAUCAGGAGGAACACCGAUGGCGAAGGCAGGUCUCUGGGCCAUUACUGACGCUGAGAAGCGAAAGCAUGGGGAGCGAACAGGAUUAGAUACCCUGGUAGUCCAUGCCGUAAACGUUGGGCGCUAGGUGUGGGACUCAUUCCACGAGUUCCGUGCCGCAGCUAACGCAUUAAGCGCCCCGCCUGGGGAGUACGGCCGCAAGGCUAAAACUCAAAGGAAUUGACGGGGGCCCGCACAAGCGGCGGAGCAUGCGGAUUAAUUCGAUGCAACGCGAAGAACCUUACCAAGGCUUGACAUAUACCGGAAACACCUAGAGAUAGGUGCCCCUUUUGGUCGGUAUACAGGUGGUGCAUGGUUGUCGUCAGCUCGUGUCGUGAGAUGUUGGGUUAAGUCCCGCAACGAGCGCAACCCUCGUUCUAUGUUGCCAGCACGUAAUGGUGGGGACUCAUAGAAGACUGCCGGGGUCAACUCGGAGGAAGGUGGGGAUGACGUCAAAUCAUCAUGCCCCUUAUGUCUUGGGCUUCACGCAUGCUACAAUGGCCGGUACAAAGGGCUGCGAUACCGCAAGGUGGAGCGAAUCCCAAAAAACCGGUCUCAGUUCGGAUUGGGGUCUGCAACUCGACCCCAUGAAGUCGGAGUCGC